rnacentral:misc_RNA from 1 species
UUUUGUUUUUCUUUUUCUUUUUUUGGGUGCAUGCUGUAGUUAUAGGCUAUGUUCUUAUAUUUCCUUUACUGUGCUGAGUGACUCUCUGGGUAAUUUUUGCAUGUCUUAUUGACAUAUGUUUCGAAUGUACAAAAUUUAGUAUUGUUUGCUCUUAGGAGCUCAACUAGCGCAUGAUGACAGAAAGUGAUCAUGAAUUGGUGUUCUUAAGUACAGAAAUUGAUUCACAUUUUGUUAGGUUCUUAGAAUUAUUAUGCUGUCAUUUUACAAUUAUUAGAUUGGAGCAGUGAGUUUGAAG